rnacentral:rRNA from 1 species
CGCGUAGGCGGCUCUUCAAGUCAAAGGUGAAAUCCCUCGGCUCAACCGGGGAACUGCCUUUGAUACUGUCGAGCUUGAGUCCCGGAGAGGGUAGCGGAAUUCCGAGUGUAGCGGUGAAAUGCGUAGAUACUCGGAGGAACACCCGUGGCGAAGGCGGCUACCUGGACGGGUACUGACGCUGAGGCGCGAAAGCUAGGGGAGCAAACAGGAUUAGAUACCCUGGUAGUCC